rnacentral:rRNA from 1 species
GAUGAACGCUAGCUACAGGCUUAACACAUGCAAGUCGAGGGGAAACGACAUCGAAAGCUUGCUUUUGAUGGGCGUCGACCGGCGCACGGGUGAGUAACGCGUAUCCAACCUGCCCAUCACUUGGGAAUAACCUUGCGAAAGUAAGACUAAUACCCAAUGACAUCCCCCGAAGACAUCUGAAUGGGAUUAAAGAUUUAUCGGUGAUGGAUGGGGAUGCGUCUGAUUAGCUUGUUGGCGGGGUAACGGCCCACCAAGGCAACGAUCAGUAGGGGUUCUGAGAGGAAGGUCCCCCACAUUGGAACUGAGACACGGUCCAAAAGCCUACGGGAGGCAGCAGUGAGGAAGAUUGGGCAAUGGGCGAGAGCCUGAACCAGCCAAGUAGCGUGCAGGAUGACGGCCCUAUGGGUUGUAAACUGCUUUUAUAAGGGAAUAAAGUGGGUCUCGUGAGACUUUUUGCAUGUACCUUAUGAAUAAGGACCGGCUAAUUCCGUG